GGGAGACAUUCCUUUGCUUUGCUGAGCUACAAAACUCAUGACAAGAAAAAGAAAUGGAGAUGUAUUCACAUUUUCAACAAUGACAGGAAGAAGUCGUUGCAGGCCACAGUAAGAGCUCCAACCAAGAUGAUGAACUCAGUGAAAUCUACCUCCCCGUCAUUGUUGGAGUCAAGAUCUCCCAUCACCUUAUCCACAGCCUCUUUAUCCUGGGCGUUCUGCAUGUAGUACUUGUGGAAGGUCUGGAUCAUGAGCUGCAUGGCGUUCUCCAGGGUGGAGGCGUUCUCUGAGUUGGGCAAAGACAUUCUGGAG